rnacentral:rRNA from 1 species
GAUGAACGCUGGCGGCGUGCCUAACACAUGCAAGUCGAACGGAAAGGCCCUGAUUUUGUGGGGUGCUCGAGUGGCGAACGGGUGAGUAUCACGUGUGUAACCUGCCCUUGUCUUUGGGAUAACUUCAGGAAACUGGGGCUAAUAUAGGAUAGGAGCUCCUGCUGCAUGGUGGGCGUUGGAAAGUUUCGGCGGUUGGGGAUGGACUAGCGGCUUAUGAGCUUGUUGGUGGGGUAGUGGCAUACCAAGUCUUAGACUGAUAGCCGGCCUGAGAGCGUGACCGGGCACAAUGGGACUGAGGGAGGGAGCAGACGCGUACGGGAGGCAACGGUGGGAAGUAUGACACAGUGAGCGGAAGCCUGUUACGACGGCGCCGCGUGCGGGAAGCCGGCCUUCUGGUUGAGAACCGCUUUCGCCUGAGACGAAGCGUGAGUGACGGUAACGGAUAAAGAAGCACCGGCUAACUACGUG